UAAUAGUAGUUUUGAAAUUCAACAUCAUCAACUUUGACUGUUCUCUUGACCUCCUUAUUUUCCUGGGAGGUUAUUGGGAUAGAUAUGUGAUGGGAGAAUACAUUAAAAAAAAAUGCUGCAGUGUUCAUCACUCUUCCUGUGAACCUUCAUUUAUAAAUGCUGGUUAAUGAUAACGUAGCUGCUGUCCAAUGUGUUCUCAGUUAGCAUAUAUUGUGCAUGGAAAAUAGAUGUGCUUUGCCUGCUUCGCUGCAAAAUAACUCACUAUUUGCUUUCCAUUAGAGCAGUGAGAAAGGUACUGUUCUGUCCUUUAAUGUAAUAACUCAUUUAUUAUGCAGGUGGAUUAGAUCAAGUGGUUGGAUUAAAGAAUUCCCUAUGCAAGAAGAACUAAUCAUGCUAGGGCACUUGCAAGGAAAACCUUCAUUGCUUUUGGAAAGAGCACACCUGAAAACAAGCUUUUCAUCCGUACAUGUCCCACGUCAAGAGGCCUAGGAUUUGAUCCAGCUUCGAACUUCAUGGUUGCAAUAUUGAAAUGAACUGUGACAGUGAAGCACAAAAAUGGUUCAGAGCCACUUCUACAAAACCGGGGAGAUGUGGUUGCCUACCAUCGCCUUUGGCUGUGACAACAGUGGUUGUGCAAUCCAAUGCCCUGUCUCAUCAGAAUAGCCUGACUAUGGAUCCUGCCUCUGAAACAUGAGGUGAUUCCAGAAAAGAUAACGCAAGGGAAGAUCAAGAGCAGCUGUCUGAACAAGCAGAACAGCUGGGGAGCAUCUGAAGUGGCCUUCUGCUUCUAGGACCACUGAGCUUCUUUGAGGUUUUGGAAGCCAAACAGAACUGAAUUUUGGAACUCCCCUUAUCUUUACAAUAAGCUAAAUCAGAACCCUGGAUCUUAAUUAACAUUUCUUCAUUUAGAAUUAUUUUUGUGAACACAAUAGAGCUGAUUAUUACCGAGAGCCUCUUCAAAGAAGUUAAAUUAAUCUGAUAAAUCAAUGUGGCCAAUGCAGAUAAGUCUUGUGGAGCAUUUUCAAGCAGUACCAGGAUCUGUCAAAAAGAGUAAUGAAUAUCAGAUUUCCAAAUGUACACAUUUUGGGGGAAGGAAUAAGAUAAAUGACACGCAUUAACUUCAAUAACUUGCGUGCGGUAACGUGAAGAUGCAAAUGGGAAAAUUAAACUGGGUCAGCAAAUGCAAACUUGAAGACAAUAAUAAAGGAUGCUGAGAUUGUUCUGAAUGAAGAUGGCAAAGAGCGGGAAAUGAUGUAUGGGAGUAACGGCAUGACAUUUGUGUUCCUUCAGAUGAAUCCAACUCAAUAAUAAUAGUAAUCCUGCUGUGAACUAAAUUUCAUUCCCUGUCACAUCCAAGUAAGGAGCAGCGCACCGAAGAUAUCUUGGUGGUAAACUCGUUGUAAAACUGAGGACGUACAAAGGGCUCCAGGCUGAGGCUACUGCAGAAGGUGGCAAAAUGAGCCAGGGGCCAGCCCUGUGGUUCCAGCAAACAGUGGGGAGGACUGAGGAAACAUUCUUGCUGCUCUGGGAGAAAAUCCUUGUGUAAGAGCAUCUUAUCGCAGUGCCAUGCCUCACAUGAUCAGUGUCUUGGGAUGCCACGAUGCACAAUUGGAAACAUCAGACAGAGUAGAUAUUUUCAUCAGAAGUGCAAGUGAUCAAUUUCUACUGAUAAAAAAGGCAUUCAUUUCUUCAGAUAGAGAAGCAAAUAGAAGAGUGUUACAUAUAGAGAAGCAUAAAAAGUGAAACGUCUAGCCUGAAAUCAAGAGGAAGAAAGAGGAUAUACCUGCAGUAAAGAUAAAAGGAAAUGGCACAGUAUUGGAGGAGAGUUAGCAUUAUACUCCCAACAGGCUCUGACGUGGAGGUCUCGUCUCCUGGUGUCAAAGGCCAGGCUUGGCCGGCCUUUUCAAUAUUCUCAUAAGCCUUUCUGACAUUAAAGGAUGGGAGAUAGGCUGGAAAGCACUUAACAAAUUAAUAUGGGAUGCAUAUGCCCACACCCAGUGCUAGUCCUUUGGUUUGCUUCUGGGUUUCUGCUCUGUUGUACCACACUGAUGUGUUGCUGCCCGUGGCUGACUCUUCCAAGGGCUGCAGGAGGAGUGGUUAUGUCAUUUAUGUAUGUACAUGUAGAUUCAAAGGUUUGCUUAAUUUCUAUUUUUAAUUGUAGUUUUCAUGUUCUCUUCGAGUUUCUAGCAGUUUAAGCAUAGAGUAUCAGGAAUCUCAUGAGGUUUUAGUCUCAAGACUUCUGAUCUAAAGCAUUUGUGUACACAUCAGAUUUACAUCCAGUGUAAACCUUUUGAAAAUCAACCCUCGUUGUUCCUUAAUGAUCAGAGUAUGAAUUCCUAGUAGGCAAGUGAUGAGUUCCAUGUGUGUGCCUACUAGGUUUUUUUCUUUAAAUAUUCCUGUGAUUUAGGAUGAUCUCUGUUAAAGAGUCACAGGCAAACCUGCAGAAGUGUUGCAUGGAGCAAUUCUCAGCCUUGGAGCCGGAGGAGAAAAGCUGCAUCCUCUGAAAGACAUGUUGUUCUUUCUGCCUUUGGAGUUAGGGGACAAGGUAUGAGAACUGGUAACUUGUUUACAAGUUUUUCUUCUCUUUCAACUCUUCCAGCUGUUUUUGUCACCUCUUUCAUAGGUGGUACUGAGACAGAGUUGCCAGCUAGAGCUGAAAGAUGAAAUAGAGCAGAUGAAGGGUGUGUGUGUGGAAGGAGGGGGGGGGUGGAAAUGUUCUCUUUUUUCAGUUCUGUACGGUGACAUAAAAAGUGGGUUACAAUUCAAAAUAUUGAAUCGUGGUUCUCGAGGCAGUUUUAUGCUUAAAUCAUAGUCUUGUCAAGUCCGUGUUUGAUGUGCUUUAAUUAACGCUUCCCCUCACUUUGUGUUUGAUUUUGAUGUGUAUGCAAUGGAUUCACACAACCUGAAGUGAUCAAAAAGAGGCAUUUGUCAGUGUCAGAGCCUGUGCUGAGGUCUCGGUCGGCUCCAUGCACACCCUGAAUGAGGAAGGUGGGGAUGGGUUAUUAGAGGAAUACAGGUCAGCCUUUAAGAAAUCACCUACAGUAAAUGAAGCUAAUGCAGUUUUCAUUAGGCUGUUUGCAGUGCCAGCAUCAAAUGCGUUUGGGAAGUUCAGUCAAGCUGUGUAUGACAUCCCCAUAAUGCAACAAGGGGGUUGCUCACAGCCUGUGGGCUUGCAUUUGUUCCUUUUCAGCAAUCACCAUCUGAAGGACCUAGCAUUUUGUGAGACUUUGCUGGAGCCAUUAUUAUUUGAGACCAUGCAAUAGGAAGGGGACAGAGCACACAAUUGUGCUGGUGGGGACCAGCAGCGAGACCACACAGAGAGCAGAAAAAGGAGGAAGGGAGCUCAAAACUCUCUGAUGGGGAUCUGCUCAUGGGUGGAACUGGCAGCGAGAGCAGAUCCUGCAUCAGUGUCAGCCAGCAGCUCUGGGAAUCUCCUUAAUGAGUUCGGAUGUACAGUGGAGUGCCACCUUCCACUCCUGGCUCUGCUGAGUGCCUGGUGAUGCUUCAAGCAUCCUCACUGCUCCUCACUUCCUUAAGUGGCAGUACAAGUGAUACCUGGUAUUUGGAAAGUAGUGCUUGAGGGGAUAAAGUGCGUUGAUAAACUCGUCGUGAUAUAGUUUCUAAUAACUUAUUGACUUUCCUUCACAGCAAUAGUGGGAUGCUUCCAGUGCAGGGCCUUAUUCUCAGUGGCAUCACUUGACAUAACUCCACUGAUUUCAUUAACUUAUACCCUGAUUUCCUUCCCCUCCCCCCCUCUUUUUUUUUUUUUUUUUUACUCAAAUCAAUCACCAUGAUAGACUAGGAAAAUUGGUUUUAUCAUUCUUAGACUCCAAAUUGAAUAGCUGCAGCAGCUGGAUUAGGCUAAUCCUCCUUUCUUGGACUUGCAUUGCUGAACAGAACCACCCCUUGCCCCCACCCCUUCCUGCAAAUUAGGGGAUUAAGCCAAGAGGUGCUUAAGCAUAGCACGGAUUGAUACACGUGGUUAUGCAAAUUGUAUCCUAGUGAGAUUCUUGAAAUGAACUUGAAUACUGGAAUGACAUCUUCAACACGGAGGAUACGAAAAUAGCAACAGAAUCUAAGGCUCAGCUUGAGCAAAAAAGGUGAACUUUGUGCGCCCAGCCACAUCAACCAAUAACAUCCCACAGCCUGUGCGCCCCAUUAGCAGGUGGGGAUAGAUUGCAAACACAAGGCAGCGUGUUGUGCAGUUCACACAGACGUUAAAUAAACGAUGCCAUCGACAUAGAUACAUGGCAGGUGGAACAAAAUGGCUGCACCAUCUACCACAGGCUACAGGGGAGACUCAGUGUGUGAUUAAAUAAUGAAUAAAAUAUCAUCGCAAACGAUAACGUUAUAUUGUAAAUAAUUCCAUUUGUUUACUCUCUCCUGGCAUUGAAGUUCAUCUCCCUUGGAGACUUCUUUGACUUUUGAUGCUGUUUUGCUUUGCAUAUGCUUGAAUUUAUAUUUUUUUUUUCUGCUUUCCACAGAACCUUCGUAAGGGUUCAGAAAAUGACAGAACCAAGUGAAUAAUUCACAGCAGAUAAUUCCUUGGCUGCAUUUUGCAUCUUUAUUUCUGCAAAACAUCCAUCCACAUUAUGUAUGUUUUGUACUAAUUUCUAGUUAAAUUAAAGCAUGACUUCCCCUCUAGCCACCAUCUUCCCAUUUUCAUGAGCAGGACAAUAAAGUCUCAUCUGGAAGUAGUUCACUGUUAAAAUUAGUGUACUUGUGACUGGAGAAAUAGACAUCAUUCCCUCUUCUUUCUUGGAUGGCUGUAGUGUUGCUGCUGGUAUAAAUACCUCCAAACAACAA